rnacentral:rRNA from 1 species
GACGAACGCUGGCGGUGUGCUUAACACAUGCAAGUCGAACGGUAAGGCCCUUUCGGGGGUACACGAGUGGCGAACGGGUGCGUAACACGUGAGUAACCUGCCCUCAUCUCUGGGAUAACAGUCGGAAACGGUUGCUAAUACUGGAUAUGAGCUUGCAAGGCAUCUUGUGGGUUGGAAAGAUUUUUUUUGGCUGGGGAUGGACUCGCGGCCUAUCAGCUUGUUGGUGGGGUAGUGGCUCACCAAGGCUUCGACGGGUAGCCGGCCUGAGAGGGCGACCGGCCACAUUGGGACUGAGAGUCGGCCCAAACUCCUACGGGAGGCAGCAGUGGGGAAUAUUGCACAAUGGACGGAAGUCUGAUGCAGCAACGCCGCGUGCGGGAUGACGGCCUUCGGGUUGUAAACCGCUUUCAAUUGUGACGAAGCUUUUUUGUGACGGUAGCAGUAGAAGAAGCACCGGCUAACUACGUG